UACGUAGGGUGCAAGCGUUGUCCGGAAUUAUUGGGCGUAAAGAGUUCGUAGGCGGUCUGUCGCGUCCGUUGUGAAAACCUGGGGCUCAACCCCAGGCGUGCACCCGAUACUCCCGGGCUGGAGGCAGGUAGGGGAGAUCGGAAUUCCUGGUGUAGCGGUGAAAUGCGCAGAUAUCAGGAGGAACACCGGUGGCGAAGGCGGAUCUCUGGGCCGACACUGACGCUGAGGAGCGAAAGCGUGGGGAGCGAACAGG
rnacentral:rRNA from 1 species